ensembl:piRNA 21ur-4715 ncRNA
AUAUAAUAUCAAUCAAAUCAA